rnacentral:rRNA from 1 species
UACAGAGGUCUCAAGCGUUGUUCGGAUUCAUUGGGCGUAAAGGGUGCGUAGGCGGCGCGGUAAGUCGGGUGUGAAAUCUCGGGGCUUAACUCCGAAACUGCAUUCGAUACUGCCGUGCUUGAGGACUGGAGAGGAGACUGGAAUUUACGGUGUAGCGGUGAAAUGCGUAGAUAUCAGGAGGAACACCAGUGGCGAAGGCGCCGCUCUGGGCCGUGACUGACGCUGAGGAGCGAAAGCGUGGGUAGCAAACAGG